rnacentral:rRNA from 1 species
AUUGAACGCUGGCGGCAGGCUUAACACAUGCAAGUCGAGCGGGGGAAGGUAGCUUGCUACCGGACCUAGCGGCGGACGGGUGAGUAAUGCUUAGGAAUCUGCCUAUUAGUGGGGGACAACAUCUCGAAAGGGAUGCUAAUACCGCAUACGUCCUAUGGGAGAAAGCAGGGGAUCUUCGGACCUUGCGCUAAUAGAUGAGCCUAAGUCGGAUUAGCUAGUUGGUGGGGUAAAGGCCUACCAAGGCGACGAUCUGUAGCGGGUCUGAGAGGAUGAGCCGCCACACUGGGACUGAGACACGGCCCAGACUCCUACGGGAGGCAGCAGUGGGGAAUAUUGGACAAUGGGGGGAACCCUGAUCCAGCCAUGCCGCGUGUGUGAAGAAGGCCUUAUGGUUGUAAAGCACUUUAAGCGAGGAGGAGGCUACUUUAGUUAAUACCUAGAGAUAGUGGACGUUACUCGCAGAAUAAGCACCGGCUAACUCUGUGCCAGCCGCCGCAGUAACAC